GACGAACGCUGGCGGCGUGCUUAACACAUGCAAGUCGAACGGAAAGGCCCUGCUUGCAGGGUACUCGAGUGGCGAACGGGUGAGUAACACGUGGGUGAUCUGCCCUGCACUUCGGGAUAAGCCUGGGAAACUGGGUCUAAUACCGGAUAGGAGCCAUUUUUAGUGUGAUGGUUGGAAAGUUUUUUGGGUGUAGGAUGAGCUCGCGGCCUAUCAGCUUGUUGGUGGGGUAAUGGCCUACCAAGGCGGCGACGGGUAGCCGGCCUGAGAGGGUGGACGGCCACAUUGGGACUGAGAUACGGCCCAGACUCCUACGGGAGGCAGCAGUGGGGAAUAUUGCACAAUGGGCGCAAGCCUGAUGCAGCGACGCCGCGUGGGGGAUGACGGCCUUCGGGUUGUAAACUCCUUUCGCUAGGGACGAAGCUUUUUGUGACGGUACCUAGAUAAGAAGCACCGGCUAACUACGUG
rnacentral:rRNA from 1 species